rnacentral:rRNA from 1 species
AGGGUUCGAUCAUGGCUCAGAUUGAACGCUGGCGGUAGGCUUAACACAUGCAAGUCGUGCGAGAAAAUAUCUUCGGAUAUGAGUAGAGCGGCGAACGGGUGAGUAACGCGUAGGAAUGUACCUAGUAGAAGGGGAUAGCCCGAGGAAACUCGGAUUAAUACCGUAUACCUCCUUCGGGAGAAAGAAGGCCUCUCUUUGAAGCUUUCGCUAUUAGAUCAGCCUGCGUAAGAUUAGCUUGUUGGUGAGGUAAUGGCUCACCAAGGCUACGAUCUUUAGCUGGUCUGAGAGGACGAUCAGCCACAUUGGGACUGAGACACGGCCCAGACUCCUACGGGAGGCAGCAGUGGGGAAUAUUGGACAAUGGGCGCAAGCCUGAUCCAGCCAUACCGCGUGUGUGAAGAAGGCCUUCGGGUUGUAAAGCACUUUAAGCAGGGAGAAAAAAAUAUAGGUUAAUACCCUAUGUUCUUGAUGUUACCUGCAGAAUAAGCACCGGCUAAUUCCGUGCCAGCAGCCGCGGUAAUAC